CCUCGCGGCCACGGAGGAGGGCGGCGGGUCAGCGGCGCCGGCGAUGGCGUCCGUGGCAGCGGUGGAGGGCGCGGCCGCGGCGCUCGGCAAUGUGGCCGGGGCGCGCGUCGGAGUCGGUGCGCGUGGCGUCAUCCACCGCCGCUUGCUCCCACGCCACCGCCAUCUCCUUCAACCAGGUCACCGGAUCCCCGCUGUCGUCCUCGCGUCCACACGGGUGGUGCUCCGCCUCUUUCUCCCGUCCGGCCAGAACCGCGGUGCACAGCCUCCCGCACUCGCUCGUGGCCCUUGGCCGUGGCUAGGGUUUCGGGCUGUGCAUCACCUUCAUCCCUGGCGUGGCUCCGGUGGACUCCGGCGACUCAUCUUCGUCUCCUCCCUUGCCCCUGGCGAGGAUUGUGCUCGGGGAGGACCCACACAACGCGCCGCUCCCAACAGCGACGAGCUCGUGUGUCACGGCCAAGGGAUGCAGGACAUGAUCCAGGAGAUGUUCGUAGUGUCGAGCCUCCUAACCAUCGGCAACUAGAGUUCCUCGAUGGUUCGUGCGGCCUUAACCGCAGCUAGGCUCCCUGCGCCCAUGCCUCAAUUCUUUUGCCUCCUCUCAGGCAUGAUGUUACAUCAGUGAAAAUCUUGCAAGGAAAAAUGACUGACCUGAAUGGGUCAGACAGACAUAUACUGCAUCAAUGGAAACAAGGAAUGUUUUGUCAAUCUGACCUUAGCUCUACAUAUCUCAGAGUUCUACGACGACACAGACCAGCAGCAGCCAGUGGGUGGAGCCACGUCGUCCGCCGAUUGGGACUAAGAUAGGCCCAUGUUUCCUCCAAAGGAUUCUCCUCUAGAUGGCGAUGCGGGGUCUUCUGUAAAGGGUGUGUUAUUCGUUUGAACGGCGGCCACCUUUGUGCAGUGGUCGACCACUAUCGCCAUCUUCAUCACUCCCAUGUUCACAUCAGUCAUACAACCUUGAGCACCCGUUUGAUAUCUUGGAGGCGUUACCUUUGGCAGCACAUAUGAGGACAUAUACUCUGCAUGGGAAGAUCCCUACUUGCUAUGAACUUCAGACGCAUCGGCCGCUGCUAGGUGUGCCGGAUGCCCUGGAGAUGGUCAGAGCUGUGGUGCCUGCAAUUCCGGCUUCAUCUCCACACCUACAGGUUUUUGAUAAUUUGCUCCUUGGGAGGUCAGUUUCCUUCAAGUGCAGCUAAAUCAAAGAGACACCGACUUAUUUUAGUGCUUGAGAUUUUGAUUGCCAAUCUGCAACAAUGCCCAUGCCCUUUGGUAUUGCACUGAUAAUUUGCUCCUUGGGAGAUGGUUUCCGUCUUAAGUGUAUACAACAAAAGGGAUAAGCAGCACCGCAUCUGAGUACCAAAGCCAUCCAUGCCAUUAUAUCACGAGUUGCAAGUAUGUGUGUGCUAUUCAAUCUAUUUACUGAGACAAGAGGCGUUUAUUUAUGUCCAGAUUUCUGUUGGAGAUUAUGGUACAUAGAAGAUCUCAUAUUAGAGAAGAGAAAAUUCAGUAUAUCUGUCGAUCUGGACAGUAUGUAUAUGUUUCUGGCACCUUUAUCCUUUAGAGCAAAGCCCAGUUCUAUGUUGAUCUUUCUUGAAUCUCUUGUUUUGUUGAUUCGAAUUAUUUAAGUGUGAAUUAUUUUGUACAAUUCCUUGAUUAUAUGUCAGUGUCAAGGCAUCUUUUGACUAUUUGAAUUAAUUUCCCAUUGUAUAUUUGACGUAUAUCUUGGAAGGAUGUGGAAGAACUUAUUAUUAUGAUGUUGUACUAAACUUUGAAGCUUUUGGUGUAUCAUGGUACAUAUUAUAGGAAAUGCAUCAAUGACAUGUAAUGAACUUUCA